rnacentral:ncRNA from 1 species
CAGGUGCCCGCAAGGGCUCAAUAGGGAAGCCGGUGGAAAUCCGGCACGGUCCCGCCACUGUAAGGCAGAGCUGAACCACAGAUGUCACUGGGAAACUGGGAAGACCGGGGAAGCGAGGAAGCCGAGUCAGGAGAACUGCCUGUUUG